UACGAAGGGGGCUAGCGUUGCUCGGAAUGACUGGGCGUAAAGGGCGCGUAGGCGGAUGGCACAGUCAGAUGUGAAAUUCCCGGGCUUAACCUGGGGGCUGCAUUUGAUACGUGUUGUCUUGAGUUCGGAAGAGGGUCGUGGAAUUCCCAGUGUAGAGGUGAAAUUCGUAGAUAUUGGGAAGAACACCAGUGGCGAAGGCGGCUCACUGGACCGGUACUGACGCUGAUGCGCGAAAGCGUGGGGAGCAAACGGG
rnacentral:rRNA from 1 species